rnacentral:rRNA from 1 species
AGAGCAUACGGUGGAUGCCUUGGCGCGUUGCGGCGAAGAAGGACGUGGUGAACUGCGAAAAGCUUCGGGGAGUCGUAAACAGGCCGUGAUCCGGAGAUGUCCGAAUGGGGAAACCUCCCUGUUGUCAUGGACAGGGAUCGUGUUCUGAAUGAAGUAGGGGCACGAGGCGAACCCGGGGAACUGAACCAUCUUAGUACCCGGAGGAAGAGAAAUCAAGAGAGAUUCCCGGAGUAGCGGCGAGCGAAAGGGGACGAGCCGAAACCGAAACAGUGUCAAGAUCGUGAUCGUUGCUGUUUGGGGGUUGCGGGGCAAUGUGUCUGCGUGUCACGACACGCAGCGGGAAGCAUCAUGGAGACCGGAAGGGCCUGGAACGGUCCGCCGCAGAGGGUAAACCUUGUGGGAAGCUGGGAGGCCCACCUUCCAAGGCUAAAUACGUCAACGCGACCGAUAGUGAACCAGUACCGUGAGGGAAAGGUGAAAAGAACCCCUGUUGCAGGGAGUGAAAGAGACCCUGAAACCGUAUGUUUACAAGCUGUCAAAGCCCCCGCGAGUGGGGCGAUGGCGUGCCUCUUGCAUAAUGAGCCGGCGAGUUACCGUGUACUGCCAGGUUAACACAGAGAGUGGGAGCCGGAGCGAAAGCGAGUCUGAAGAGGGCGUGCGAGUAGGACGCGGUAGACCCGAAGCCGAGUGAGCUAUCCAUGAGCAGGUUGCAGCGUUCGUAACAGGACGUGAAGGACCCGACCCACUCAGGUUGAAAACUGAGGGGAGGACUUGUGGAUAGGGGUGAAAGGCCAAUCAAACUCGGAGAUAGCUGGUUCUCCCCGAAAUUGCUGUAGGGCGAGCCUCUGGUGUUGGGUGUCGGGGGUAGAGCACUGAUUGGGUUAGGGCCCUUCGCCGGGUACCGUCCCCAGUCAAACUCCGAAUCCCGGCAACGUCGAGCCAGGGAGUGAGACGGUGGGGGAUAAGCUUCAUCGUCGAAAGGGAAAGAGCCCAGACCAUCAGCUAAGGUCCCGAACGGUCUGUUAAGUGGAAAAGGAUGUGGGGAUGCCCAGACAGCCAGGAGGUUGGCUUAGAAGCAGCCAUCCUUGAAAGAAAGCGUAACAGCUCACUGGUCAAGUGUGCCUGCGCCGAAAAUGUAACGGGGCUGAAACAGACGACCGAAGCUAUGGAUGCCUCUGCGGAGGCAUGGUAGGGGAGCGUUCUCUGCCACAGCGAAGCCGUUUCGAGAGGGGCGGUGGAGUGGAGAGAAGUGAAGAUGCCGGCAUGAGUAACGAUAAAACAGGUGAGAGUCCUGUUCGCCGAAAUUCUCAGGGUUCCUAGGGCAAGGCGAGUCCGCCCAGGGUUAGUCGGGACCUAAGCUGAGGCCGCGAGGCGUAAGUGAUGGCAAACAGGGGAAUAGUCCUGUACCACCGGCAUGAUGAUUGAGCGAGGGGGGUGACGUGUGCAGGGAGGCCGGCCUGUCAGUGGUAACACAGGUGGAACCCGGGAGGAGGACUGUGCGGCAAAUCCCACAGUCAGAGACUCUGAGCGGGGAGACCGGGCCGUCGGGCCAGAAGCGGUUGCGCCCUGGACACCAAGAAAAGCCCUCUAGUGAGUGAUGCGGGUGCCCGUACCCGAAACCGACACAGGUAGAAGCGGAAGGACUCCGUAGGCGUGUGAGCAAACCCUCGUUAAGGAACUCGGCAAAAUUACCCCGUAACUUCGGGAGAAGGGGUACCCUAGUACGGUGAGGAGAGCGAUACUCUGAGUCGGAGGGGGUGGCACAAACCAGGCCCAGGCGACUGUUUACUAAAAACAUAGGUCUCUGCGAAGUCGAGGCCGUAACUAUAACGGUCCUAAGGUAGCGAAAUUCCUUGUCGGGUAAGUUCCGACCUGCACGAAUGGCGUAACGACUUGGGCGCUGUCUCAACGAGGGACUCAGUGAAAUUGUAGUACCGGUGAAGAUGCCGGUUUCCCACGACUAGACGGAAAGACCCCGUGCACCUUUACUAUAGCUUGACGUUGGGUUGUAGAGUAUUUUGUGCAGGAUAGGUGGGAGGCGGAGAAGUCAGCACGCCAGUGUUGGUGGAGCCAUCCUUGAAAUACCACCCUGAAUGCUUUGGAAUCCUCACUGCGCUCCGUGAAUCCGGAGCCGGGACAGGGUCAGGUGGGUAGUUUGACUGGGGCGGUCACCUCCCAAAGAGUAACGGAGGUGUGCGACGGUGCCCUCAGGCUGUAUAGAAAUCAGUCGGAGAGUGCAAAGGCAGAAGGGCGCUUGACUGCGAGACCGACGGGUCGAGCAGGUGCGAAAGCAGGUCUUAGUGAUCCGGCGGCACUUGGUGGCAGGGCCGUCGCUCAACGGAUAAAAGGUACGCCGGGGAUAACAGGCUGAUUCUGCCCGAGAGUUCCCAUCGACGGCAGAGUUUGGCACCUCGAU